GACGAACGCUGGCGGCGCGCCUAACACAUGCAAGUCGAACGAGGUUGAGGGGAGCUUGCUUUUCUUGACUUAGUGGCGAACGGGUGAGUAACGCGUGAGGAACCUGCCUCAAAGAGGGGGACAACAGUUGGAAACGACUGCUAAUACCGCAUAAGCCCACAGCUCCGCAUGGAGCAGGGGGAAAAGGAGUGAUCCGCUUUGGAUUAGCCAGUUGGCAGGGUAACGGCCUACCAAAGCGACGAUCCAUAGCCGGCCUGAGAGGGUGAACGGCCACAUUGGGACUGAGACACGGCCCAG
rnacentral:rRNA from 1 species